rnacentral:lncRNA from 1 species
ACAAACCCAAACUUAAUUCCCCACUCCACUUUUUUUUCUCUCUCUCUCUGACUCUCUCUCUUCAGUCUUCACUUUAUCUCUCGAUCUCAACUCUUUCCUUCGUUUCACAAAAGUUUGAUUUCUCCAUCAGUUCUUCGAGUGCGUUCUGCAAAUCAUUAGAUCUACUCACAAUACUGUUGAUUCACCACUACGUCUGAUCUCUUCUAUGGUUUUGCAAACUGAACGAAGUGAAGUAUGGAUCGAUCGAAGUGAAGAAUCUAUCAAUCGAAGUGAAGAAUCAAUUCCUCUUCUCACACGUAUGAACUCAUAGUUGUUCCCUCUUUCUCAUCUUGUCUUUUGUUUUUCAUCAUCUUCUUCUUUUUUCUUUUCCGGUUUUUUCUUUCUCAUCUUCUCUUUCUUUUUUCAUCUUUCUUACUGAAUUCCUUUUUAUUUCGUAUCUUCUUCUUGGUUUUGUCAAAAAACAAAAAUAAAAUAAAAUCGUGGUUAAUAAAGUUUGAUUUUUUCAUUGAAUUCGAGAAAAAUUUCUUCAUUUUCAUUGAAUUGAUGAUCUGUAGUUAAUAAAGUUGGUUAUUUUUUUUCAUACACCAUUAGUUGCACGAACUUGAAUAGAAGGAAAGUACUUCCCACAUUAAAACUUUGGAAGGAAUUGUUCUCUCUCUCGCUCACUCUCUUCUUUGCACAGGUUUGUGGUAUAAUCCCUAUCUUAAAUUGUUCUUUUAUUUUUCAAUUUGUCUCAAAUUAGUUGAAUUAUUGUGUUUAUUAUAUAUUUUUUUUCUAUUUCAGCACAUCAGAAGAUU